rnacentral:rRNA from 1 species
UUAACACAUGGCAAGUCGAGCGGUAACAGGGGUAGCUUGCUACCCGCUGCACGUAGCGGCGGUACGGGUGAGUAAUGCUUGGGAAGCUGCCCGGCUAGAGGGGGAUAACAGUUGGAAACGACUGCUAAUACCGCAUAACCUCUUCGGAGCAAAGCGGGGGACCUUCGGGCCUCGCGCUACCGGAUGCGCCCAAGUGGGAUUAGCUAGUUGGUGGGGUAACGGCUCACCAAGGCGACGAUCCCUAGCUGGUCUGAGAGGAUGAUCAGCCACACUGGGACUGAGACACGGCCCAGACUCCUACGGGAGGCAGCAGUGGGGAAUAUUGCACAAUGGGCGAAAGCCUGAUGCAGCCAUGCCGCGUGUGUGAAGAAGGCCUUCGGGUUGUAAAGCACUUUCAGCGAGGAGGAAAGGGUGAGUCUUAAUACGGCUCAUCUGUGACGUUACUCGCAGAAGAAGCACCGGCUAACU